rnacentral:rRNA from 1 species
UACGGAGGAUGCAAGCGUUAUCCGGAAUGAUUGGGCGUAAAGCGUCCGCAGGUGGCUGUGUAAGUCUGCUGUUAAAUAGUGAGGCUCAACCUCAUAAAGGCAGUGGAAACUACACGGCUAGAGUGCGUUCGGGGCAGAGGGAAUUCCUGGUGUAGCGGUGAAAUGCGUUGAUAUCAGGAGGAACACCCAUGGCGAAGGCAGCAAACUGGCCGGCAUCUGACGCUGAGGCGCGAAAGCGUGGGUAGCAAACAGG